GCCUCCUUAGCUCGGUCUGGUAGAGCGGCGCUUUCAUACGGCGACGGUCGGAGGUUCAAAUCCUCUCGGAGGCACCA
rnacentral:tRNA from 2 species